UUAACAAGAGUCAGGAAAUGUAAAAGACCUGCUUGGGCUGCACCAUGAAUCAAGAGGCUCGGAGGUCUGUGAGCAUCCCAGGAUUUGCUACGUGCCAGUGAGACGCUGAGGAUUAGAAAGUGGCUUUUCCACUCACAGCAGUCCAGGGAAGCUUUGCCGUUAUCACCCUGAACCAGAUGGAUUUUGAAGAGUCAAUGGAGAGCAAUUGAGGUGCUGCCGCAUCCUUGCCAGAAGUUAACGGGCCCUGACGCUGCUCAACUCAGUGCUGAGAGGCAUCAGGAGCUUCAGCUCUCAAUCCACAUAAAACAGCAGUUUCCAUUCUCCAGAAGGAAAUGGGAAGAUGUUCUGCUCGGGAUCCCAUCAGAGCGUGGCCCAGAGGAGCUGGUGCUGCUGCCAACCCUCAGCGGUGCCACAGCAGCCAGGCACCAAGAGACAGCGUGGCACUAUGAGCAUAUCCCAGCCCUCAGCCAUGCUGAGCAUGCAUGGAAAUAGCAGUGCUGCAUCUCCUGCUAACCCAGCGGGACAACAAGGGCUGCUUCACGGGGAGGUGACACAGAGGUGGCUGCAGAUGAGGCAGCUCGAGGAGAGAAGCCACCUGCCGAGGCCACCAGCUGUUCCUGUCCCAGAUCUGAGCCAAACUGUGGGUCCCAGACCCAAGAGAGCAAGGCACGGAGCUUGGAUCCAUGAACCUCUGGGAGCCAUUGGAUGGGGAACUCAACUUCAGUGCUCAGAAUGUGUGCUGGGAGGGACUGAGGAGCAGCUGUGGAGCUCUGUGUCUUACCAUCAUUAUGACUGGUAUCAUUAUUAUCAUUACUGUGAAUGCGUGAACCAGAAAGCCAAGCGUGCCUCCUGCAGCAGUGCACUGCGAAGUAACAAAGCCAUGAGUGGUCCUUCCAGAAAGGGUUUCCUGCUUUCUUGGCUAUUGGCCCAUCCCAAGAUUCGGGUUCAGCCAAAUCCUAAACUCUAAGGCAUUCCCCUUCUGUUUGACGGGGAACUGCCAACACGUCUCAUCAGUACUUAUCUGAAUCGAGGGGGAGACGUUCCAUUUUAUGACGAGAGGCAGACAGCCAAGUCCCAUUGAUCUUCAAUGAAAAUCCCUCAGUGAAAAAUCCCUCAUCCCCUGUCAAAACACGAAGAGAGGGGCUUUGCCUACACAGCUGGUUUUGUUCGAAGGCACGCAUCAUCAUUGGGUCUGAAUUCCUAUUGCUGUCCUAUUAUUAUCUCUGAUUAAGCAGGGUGAAGUGGAAAUUAGGCGAGUACUGCGUACUCACAGCUAUCUGCUUUAAUGAGCCCUGCUUAACCCAUUUAUUUUCUUCAAGAUAAAGCUUCCUGGGGGGGUAUUCACCGCCAGCCCCCACCACUGGACUGUCAUCUCCCCCUCCUGAAUAUUAGGCUCAGGCUCAUCCCCAGUGGGUCAGGGUAAUGACUUACUUUCAGUAUUUAAAGCCAGCCCAAUAAAACUCUAAAUGACUUUCUAAGGGUGCA
rnacentral:lncRNA from 1 species